GACGAACGCUGGCGGCGUGCUUAACACAUGCAAGUCGAACGGAAAGGCCCUGCUUUUGUGGGGUGCUCGAGUGGCGAACGGGUGAGUAACACGUGAGUAACCUGCCCUUGACUUUGGGAUAACUUCAGGAAACUGGGGCUAAUACCGGAUAGGAGCUCCUGCUGCAUGGUGGGGGUUGGAAAGUUUCGGCGGUUGGGGAUGGACUCGCGGCUUAUCAGCUUGUUGGUGGGGUAGUGGCUUACCAAGGCUUUGACGGGUAGCCGGCCUGAGAGGGUGACCGGCCACAUUGGGACUGAGAUACGGCCCAGACUCCUACGGGAGGCAGCAGUGGGGAAUAUUGCACAAUGGGCGGAAGCCUGAUGCAGCAACGCCGCGUGCGGGAUGACGGCCUUCGGGUUGUAAACCGCUUUCGCCUGUGACGAAGCGUGAGUGACGGUAAUGGGUAGAGAAGCACCGGCUAACUACGUGCCAGCAGCCGCGGUGAUACGUAGGGUGCGAGCGUUGUCCGGAUUUAUUGGGCGUAAAGGGCUCGUAGGUGGUUGAUCGCGUCGGAAGUGUAAUCUUGGGGCUUAACCCUGAGCGUGCUUUCGAUACGGGUUGACUUGAGGAAGGUAGGGGAGAAUGGAAUUCCUGGUGGAGCGGUGGAAUGCGCAGAUAUCAGGAGGAACACCAGUGGCGAAGGCGGUUCUCUGGGCCUUUCCUGACGCUGAGGAGCGAAAGCGUGGGGAGCGAACAGGCUUAGAUACCCUGGUAGUCCACGCUGUAAACGGUGGGUACUAGGUGUGGGGUCCAUUCCACGGGUUCCGUGCCGUAGCUAACGCUUUAAGUACCCCGCCUGGGGAGUACGGCCGCAAGGCUAAGACUCAAAGGAAUUGACGGGGCCCCGCACAAGCGGCGGAGCAUGCGGAUUAAUUCGAUGCAACGCGUAGAACCUUACCUGGGUUUGACAUGGAUCGGGAGUGCUCAGAGAUGGGUGUGCCUCUUUUGGGGUCGGUUCACAGGUGGUGCAUGGCUGUCGUCAGCUCGUGUCGUGAGAUGUUGGGUUAAGUCCCGCAACGAGCGCAACCCUUGUUCACUGUUGCCAGCACGUUAUGGUGGGGACUCAGUGGAGACCGCCGGGGUCAACUCGGAGGAAGGUGGGGAUGACGUCAAGUCAUCAUGCCCCUUAUGUCCAGGGCUUCACGCAUGCUACAAUGGCUGGUACAGAGAGUGGCGAGCCUGUGAGGGUGAGCGAAUCUCGGAAAGCCGGUCUCAGUUCGGAUUGGGGUCUGCAACUCGACCUCAUGAAGUCGGAGUCGCUAGUAAUCGCAGAUCAGCAACGCUGCGGUGAAUACGUUCCCGGGGCU
rnacentral:rRNA from 1 species